rnacentral:tRNA from 1 species
GGUUCCGUAGUGUAGCGGUUAUCACGUUUGCCUGUCACGCAAAAGAUCGCGGGUUCAAUUCCCGUCGGAACCGCCA